GAUGAACGCUGGCGGCGUGCUUAAUACAUGCAAGUCGAGCGAACAGAUGAGGCGCUUGCUCCUCUGACGUUAGCGGCGGAGGGGUGAGUAACACGUGGAUAACCUCCCUAUCAGACUGGUAUAACUUGGGGAAACCGGCGCUAAUACCGUAUAAUCUCUUGCACCACAUGGUUCAAUAGUGAAAGACGGUUGUGCUGUCUCUUCUCGAUGCAUCCGAGCCGCAUUAGCUAGUUGGUAAGGUAACGGCUUACCAAGGGAACGAUGCGUAGCCGACCUGAGAGGGUGAUCGCCCACACUGGAACUGAGCCACGGUCCAGACUCCUACGGGAGGCAGCAGUAGGGAAUCUUCCGCAAUGGGCGAAAGCCUUACGGAGCAACGCCGCGUGAGUGAUGAAAGUCUUCGGAGCGUAAAACUCUGUUAUUAGUGAAAAACAAAUGUGUAAGUAACUAUGCACGUCGUGACGGUACCGGGUCAGAAAGCCACGGCUAACUACGUG
rnacentral:rRNA from 1 species